rnacentral:rRNA from 1 species
UACAGAGGGGGCAAGCGUUGUUCGGAAUUACUGGCGUAAAGCGCGUGUAGGCGGUCGGGCAAGUCGGAUGUGAAAGCCCAGGGCUCAACCCUGGAAGUGCAUUCGAUACUGCUCGGCUAGAGUCCCGGAGAGGGUGGUGGAACUCGUCGGUGUAGAGGUGAAAUUCGUAGAUAUUCGCAAGAACACCAGUGGCGAAGGCGGCUCACUGGCCCGGUACUGACGCUGAGGUGCGAAGCGUGGGAGCAAACAGG